GACGAACGCUGGCGGCGUGCUUAACACAUGCAAGUCACGGGGCCCGCAAGGGCAACCGGCGAACGGGUGCGUAACACGUGAGCAACCUACCGAGAUCUGGGGGAUAGCCGGCCCAACGGCCGGGUAAUACCGCAUACGCUCUUUCCACGGCAUUGUGGAUUGAGGAAACCUCCGGGGGAUUUCGAGGGGCUCGCGGCCUAUCAGCUAGUUGGUGCGGUCACGGCGCACCAAGGCGACGACGAGAGCUGGUCUGAGAGGAUGGCCAGCCACAUUGGGACUGAGAGACGGCCCAGACUCCUACGGGAGGCAGCAGUGGGGAAUCUUGCGCAAUGGCCGAAAGGCUGACGCAGCGACGCCGCGUGUGGGAGGAAGCCUUUCGGGUGUAACCACUGUUGCCCGGACGAACAGCUCCUU
rnacentral:rRNA from 1 species